AUGGCGUGCCUCGCGAUCUCCCUGCAGCCGGUGAACGGCCCGGACAUCCUGCUCCAGACGCGCUCCUGGUUCCCGGUCUCGCGCGCCCUCGCCGCCGUCUCCGCCUUCCGCCUCGCGCGCCUCAGCCUCGCCCGCGGCAAGCAGCCGCACGCCUCCCCCUCCUCCUCCGCCUCCCUCGACGCCAUCGGCGACGACCCGCUCGCCACCGGGUCGGGGCAGCUGGUGGUGGGCGUCGAGUCGCAGUACCGCGUGGUGUACCGCCUCGUCAACUCCAUCUACGUGCUCGGCGUCACCACCGCCUCCGACCACGCCGCCCCCGCCGUCCACGCCUUCGCCGUCGCCGACGCCGUCAACCAGGCCGUCUCCGUCCUCGUCGCCGCCUGCCGCGGCGUCGACGCCACCCCCGACAAGGUCCACCGCAAGUACCCCGAGGUCUACCUCGCGCUCGACCUCGUCCUCCACGGCGUCGGCUCCGUCCGCCUCUCCCAGAUCCUCGCCACCAUCCAUGGCGACAACCUCGCCCGCAUGGUCAACUCCUCCCCCGACGCCGAGGCCCGCGCCCGCGGCGCCGACUCCUGGCCCGUCGUCGAGCACCUCGCGCAGGACCGCCACGCCGCCCGCGACGGCUUCGCCGGCGCCUCCUUCGAGCUCCCCCAGGAGACCCUCUCUGCCGGCGACGAGUUCUCUGCUUCCAGCCUCGCGCCUGCGGCUGCCGCAGCUACUGGGGAUGAGCCGCCGCCUGAGGAGGCGCCCCCCAUUGAGAAGGACCCCUUUGCGGCUAGCGACAUGGUUGCUAGCAAGCCAGAGGAGGCGUUGGUCGGUGCGUUCAAGAAGAACAAGGAGACCGCCCUUGUGGUUGCUGAUCCUGCUGCUGCGCUUGCUGGGUUGGAGGUCACCACUCUGCCGCCAGCCGAGGCGACUAAACCAACGUUUAUUGGGGUUGAGGGAUUUGAGGGUGACUACGGUGGAAUCGAGUUUGGCAAUGAGGAAGCUUCACUGGCUGAGGCAUUUGAGGGGUUCAAUGCGCCAUUUGGGGGUGGGCUAGAUGCUUCUGAGUUUGUUACCACAACCAAGAAGGAUCACAAGGACAAGACCCUCACUGGUCUUGAGAUUCUAGCCAUGAGUGGUGGGCAGGCACCGAAUGCAGCUUCUUCUGGUUCGCAACUCGACAGCUUGGUAACCCCGAGCAAAGACAUGACCGUGCCUGAGUUGUGCAUCGUGGAGGAGAUCAAUGCUGAAUUCAAGGAGUCUGUUCUUGCACGGGUUGGUCUGAAGGGUACAAUCAUUUUGCGGACGUUACCACCAAAGAAGGCAGCAGGGAGGGAGACAGAGUUCUCAUUCCGGCUUGAGGGUACUUCUGGAAUGAAGAGGGCCGCCUUGCAGAGUACCGUGUUGAGCAGCCUCGAGAAUGGCCUGUUCCAUGUGAAGACACCAUCGAAGGAGGAGCCUAUCCCCAUCAUGAAAUACAGCUUCCUGCCCAAGCACUCACCUCUCCCCCUGAGGUUGCGCCUUGUAAAGCGCCACAGUGGCACAUUGCUCUCACUGAUGAUACACUAUGCGUCGAACCCGAUGUUGCCACAGCCACUGAGCAAUGUUACAUUCAUUGUUAAGCUUCCUGUGGAUCCAACUCUGCUUAAUGUUUCGCCCAAGGCUGUGUUGAACCGGGCAGAGAGGGAGCUCAGGUGGCACAUCUCAGACAUUCCUCUGAAAGGUCCUGCUGGCCGGUUGAGAGCACGGAUGCCUGUAGAUCAAGACUCCAAAGAUGGUGAACUAGAGGUUGUUGGAAUGGUCAAGUUUGCUUACCAAGGGCCAUUCACUUUGUCUGGCAUCAAACUCUGCCCAGCCAUCAAUAGCACUGCCCAAUUUAAUGAAGUUGGCCACACUUUCUCCAGCGGGAGCUACCGUUGCAUCUGA
rnacentral:rRNA from 1 species